rnacentral:lncRNA from 1 species
UAGGAUGGCUAACCAGUGUGUUUGAGUUCUUAAAGAAUCUGGCAGCUGAGGUCAUGGGACUAGGAUUAUUCAAGACUAAGUUUCCAACCCAUCAAUCCAACAUUUAUUGAGGACUUCUUGUGGACAAAGGGCUCUGUUUGCCUUUGUCUGGAUAUUCAGAAGACCCAUGUGAACAAUGCAAAAUAAAGUAGCAGUAAAAGAGAACGGACAAAUACAGUCACAAGGAAGGGAGGCUCUUGACGUCAAUAGGAAGUAAGAUGAGAAGUCUAGAGACUGGGCGGGAGAGUUCAAAUGAUUCUACGUGGGAGGAGAUUAAAAAUGGUAAAGUAAGAACAAGCUGCAAAAUAGACCCUCUUUGAAAUGUGAAUCAAAACAUUUUGAAAACAACCUAGCAAAGAAAAAAGAAGUAGAACUCUGGGAAUCAAGAAAAAGCUGGUAGGAAAACUAGAAACUAGAGAGAAACUGAAAAGGAUGCAAAGAAAAGAACAAAGGAGACUGGAACACUAACCCUGGCUCCCAGGGAGGAGGUCCUAUCUCCACCAACACAAGAGCUGGGGAAUCAAGACUUGAGAAGGUUGGACACUGAGAAGACACUCAGAUAUUCUGCUGAUUAAGUUAAAAAUGGAUACAAACAUCAAGACACAACCAAACUCAAGGACAUGUCACAGGGAGACAAACCUAACUAAAGAGAUCUCCACAGUAGCAAUAGUUUCUCUACCCUAACUGACCUUCAACUCAGAGCAAAAAAAUGAUAGAAACAUGAGAAAAUCAGGCAAGAAGAUGCCUUCCAAAGACCCCUAGCUCCCAAAAAUCUGAUCUCGUGGACACUAAAGUAGAGGAAACUAUGGGCAAAGAACUCAAAACCAAAUGGUCAAAAUGUUUAAAGAGAUUAAAGAAGAAAAAUAUAAGCAAACACAUAAGAUGUUUAAUGAGCUGAGAGAGAAUUUAAUUAAAAAGAUAAUGGAUUUUACUAAUAAAAUGUUCAAUGAGUACAAAGGAAAAACAAACAAUGAAAUAAUUGAGCUAAACAAGAUGAUACAAGACAUGAAUGACCACUUUGGAAAAUAACUAGAAAGUAUGAAAAGAAAGCAAGCAGAAAAAGAUGGUAUUAAGAUAUCAAAUGGAAAACAUGGG